rnacentral:rRNA from 1 species
AGAAUCAACGCUGGCGGCGUGCCUAACACAUGCAAGUCGCACGAGAAAGGGACUUCGGUCUUGAGUAAAGUGGCGCACGGGUGAGUAACACGUGACUAAUCUACCCUCGAGUGGGGAAUAACUGAGAGAAAUCUUAGCUAAUACCGCAUAAUACUUACGAGUCAAAGCAGCAAUGCGCUUGGGGAGGAGGUCGCGGCCGAUUAGCUAGUUGGCGGGGUAAUGGCCCACCAAGGCGAUGAUCGGUA